GUGGGGAAUUUUUGGCAAUGGGGGAAACCCUGACCAAGCAACGCCGCGUGGAGGACGAAGGCCUUCGGGUCGUAAACUCCUGUCGGAGGGGACGAAAGCGGUUGGGGCGAACAGUCCCGACCGUUGACGGUACCCUAUGAGGAAGCCCCGGCUAACUCCGUGCCAGCAGCCGCGGUAAUACGGGGGGGGCAAGCGUUGUUCGGAAUUACUGGGCGUAAAGGGCGCGUAGGCGGUCCGGCAAGUCCCUCGUGAAAUCCCACGGCUCAACCGUGGAACUGCGGGGGAUACUGCCAGACUUGAGUCCGGGAGAGGGGAGUGGAAUUCCCAGUGUAGCGGUGAAAUGCGUAGAUAUUGGGAGGAACACCGGUGGCGAAGGCGGCUCCCUGGACCGGUACUGACGCUGAGGCGCGAAAGCUAGGGGAGCAAACGGGAUUAGAUACCCUAGUAGUCC
rnacentral:rRNA from 1 species